ACCCCUGGCUCUGAUCACUUUGGAGACAUGGCCCUGGGCCAGGGAGUAGGUGGCUUGUGUCUGGUCCUCUGUCAUAUGCUGGAAGUAUCUGGUCAAAUCAUGGCCCUUGGAGGAGUUGAUCUCACCCAGGUUCUUGAGGGAGGCCUGUGGCUUUUCAUUUACUCCCCAGCUGGAGGCUCCCGGCCUGUCUGGGACUCACAGACCCUGGAGAAUGACAAGAAGAGCCUCGGAUAUCAGACCCCGGCAGGUUUGCCGGUCUUGGUACUGCCCUCCUGGAGAGAUGUCUUGCCUUGUGGAGAGGCUGUUCCUGUCAGUGAGUGGCCCUGUGUCAGUGGGGAUGCGAGGUGCCUGCCCAGCUUGACUGCUGCCCGGCUGCCCAGGCUACCCAUGUGUUCUGUGAGAUUCCGUUUCUAGAUAUUUCUUGGGGAAGCCAUGCUCUUUGUCAAUUUUCCCUCCUGUUUUGAACUAGCUGAAACACCUUCCCUCAUAGUUGGUUAAGGGCUGGGGUUGGGGCUUCUCUCAUGCCACCACCCCGCCACACUCAUUUCUGGUCUUACAUGGGCAGCUGAUGAUAUGCCCAAGGGCUGUGGCCACUUCCCUCCACUGUCCUGUCACCUGGCAGUCCAUGGAUCUCCAGCGAUCAUGGCUGCUGUGCCUGGGUUACCUAGGCCCUGAGUCUUUCCAUCUCCAUCCCUCCUCCUUUCCAUCCUCAAGAUUGUUCCAGACCAGUUCCACCCAAGUGGCACCACCCCACAGGGAAGUCUCUCAGAAUUGGCUGUCCUUUCCACUGACCACUGACACAACCCAGGAGUGCAGCUAACCCCACAGGGCAGGGCUGGUGUCCUGGCAGGGCCAUCAGUCACCCCUGAUGACCUAUGGCAUCCAUCCUGGAGAGGACUACAGGCAGACAGACCCAGACAUUGCCUUGAGGGAACCUGGAUGGAAUUGGAGGAGGCAGGAGGAACACACAGAAAUCACCACGGGCCACCCUAACAGCUCUCAAGACAGCAGAAAGAAGAAUCAGCCAGGAGCCUGAGGCAGGGACAGAUGGGGCACAUAGAGAGCACCUCCUCUAGGGACCUCAGAUCCAGUCUGAAGGAUGAAACUCUGGGGUGGUUCACUGGCUCAAGCCAUGAUGACCCCAUCCCCCUCCUGAGCUGCCCUGCAGAUGCAGCCACGCCAACCAGGCAGAUGGACAUAGUGAACUUCAGGGUUCGACUGGCCUCUCGUGGAACUCUGAAAGCUCUCAUGGAAGAAGAUCCAAGAGGAACCACAGGAUAUAUUUGGGGGUGUGGAGGCAGGGGGACCGAAGACCUCUCUCAAACCAUGAAGUCCUCUCAGGAGCCAUCUGAUUACAUGGCCUCAGCUCAGACAUCCUCCCUAGGAAGAAUUGUCCAUGCUGUUUUAAGAGUCCAGGUUGGGGACUAGCAGGUCUGGAGUCAAACCCAGAGAUCACCUCCUUUCAUCUGUGAAGCUUUUAUGGUCCAGAACUUCUCUGGACUCUGUUUUGAUGUCUACAAAUUGGGGACAAUUAGACUGGCUUCACAGGGCUGUCACUAGCUACAGAUGAGUGGUGAAACUGUCUAGCACACAGUGAGUGGCCCUCCCCUUCACUUUACUUUCUCCUACCAGGAGUCACGGAAAAGAUCAGUCUCACAAGCAGGAGAGGGAAAGCCUCAAAUCAGAUUCACAUAGAGAAUAAAGUAUUGAGGAAACAGUGUGUUGUGAGUAUAACAUGAGAUGUGGGGACCCCAGCCAUUCUAGGAUGAAGCCAACCAUAGAUAGCAACACGUAGACUCCACGGCGGAUGGGAGCUGACUGUGGUCUGUGAUGCUCUGAGCACAUCCACAUUUGGACAGCAAUACCUCAUUUGGGUCAAGACGAUGACCAAGGGAUCUGGGUGUAGAAUCAGCAGCAUCCAGGAUAAGGAGAUGGAUCUGCGGCGUCCGGAGGAGCUUGAAGGAAAGAGUCCUGCGGAGCAGAACAGGAGGCAGGCAAGAGGUGUCGCUGUACUUCAGACACUUGACUAGUGUCCCCUGGGGGCGCUAAGUGUGGUGACUGGGCCCACCCAGAGGACCGGAGCCCCUGAGAGCUUAGUUUGAGUUAUGCUAAGGUAGAUAAGGAGAAUGAACCAACAGAGGGAUGAGCAGCGGGCAGUCGAGCUAGCCGCUGACCUUGGUACUGAAAACACAGUGAUCCUGCAAAACCAAGUGGGGGCCUAGAGGCAGAGGCCACAGAGAGCUGGCUGAUGAUUGCCAUACUCCACUGAGGUUAGGGGGCACUCGGUGGCUUCGGUG